rnacentral:tRNA from 1 species
GCCUUCGUGAUGUAAUGGUUAGCAUACUCUACGCGUAAUCGAGAGGCCCGAGGUUCGAGUCCCGGUGAUGGUA